GUCCCCGUAGCCCAACCCCUGGUAGAGGCGGCCGGCCUAAAUCCGGCACCAGUGCGGGUUCGAAUCCCGCCGGGGACA
rnacentral:tRNA from 1 species